rnacentral:rRNA from 1 species
UACAGAGGGUGCGAGCGUUAAUCGGAAUUACUGGGCGUAAAGCGCACGUAGGUGGCGACGUAAGUCGGGUGUGAAAGCCCCGGGCUCAACCUGGGAAUUGCAUUCGAGACUGCAUUGCUGGAGUACGGAAGAGGAGGGCGGAAUUCCCGGUGUAGCGGUGAAAUGCGUAGAUAUCGGGAGGAACAUCAGUGGCGAAAGCGGCACCCUGGCAUUAGCCUGACGCUCAGGUGCGAAAGCGUGGGGAGCGAACGGGG